rnacentral:hammerhead_ribozyme from 1 species
AUCCAGUUGACGAGUCCCAAAUAGGACGAUAUGCGACUUAUCCUGCCUGGAU